rnacentral:sRNA from 1 species
UUUUUUUUUUUUUUUUUUUUGAGAUGGAGUCUUGCUCUUUUUGCCCAGGCUGGAGUGCAGUGGUGUGAUCUCGGCUCACUGCAACCUUCGCCUCCCUGGUUGAAGCGAUUCUCCUGCCUCAGCCUCCCAAGUAGCUGAGAUUACAGGCACACGCCAUCACACCCGGCUAAUUUUUGUAUUUUUAGUACGUAUGGGGUUUCACCAUGUUGGCCAGGCUGGUCUUGAACUCCUGACCUCAUGAUCCGCCCACCUCCCGAAAUGCUGGGAUUACAGGCGUGAGCCACCGUGCCUGGCUGCAGGAGGCUUUGAUGCUGGCCUGGCAGCCAGCUCCAGGAGCUGGGGGACGGAGGGGGCAGGGAGGGCUUCGUGGGUGGCCACGGCCAGCAGCACCCGGGUGCCCCUCAGAGAGGAAGGUACCUCCAGCCUCUGCCCAUGUGUGGGGCCAGCCCCCACGCGUCCUCCCUCAUAAGCCCCUUGCUAUCCUUGCAGCUGGCGUGAAGUUCCGUGUCCUCCAGCACAAGGCCGGCAGGCCCCUCCGCCUCCUGAUGCAGAUAAACCCACUGCCCUACAGCCGCGUGGUGCACACCUACCGCCUCCCCAGCUGUGGCUGCCACCCCAAGCACUCCUGGGGCGCCCUGUGCCGCAAGCUGUUCCUUGGGGAGCUCAUCUACCCCUGGAGGCAGAGAGGGGACAAGCAGGACUGAGGGAACUGCUGGCUCGCCCGGCACCACCACACGGCCACGGCCAGCCAUCUGCUCUGCCAGGGUGGCACCAGCUCAGCUGGCGCGUGUCCCGUGCUUUGUGGACGCUGCUGUGUGCUCCUGAACACCGCAGGCCCUGCUAUCACACCUUGGGCUUGGAGGUCAUUGGGAGUGAGCAGAUGUGGGGGUGGCCAGCCAGGCUGGCCGCACUCCAUCACUGGCACUGCCUGCCUUGGGACCCGCUUCCCACCUGCUGCGGUCACCAUGGUGGCGAGCACAGCAGCCCCAGGUGUCCAGAGCACUGCCCCAUGCCCACCCUGCGUACCCAGGUCCAGAGGGUCCGUCCACCACAGCAGCCCCAGGUGGAGGGCUGGUCUCCCUGGGGGCUCCCCAGUGGCUCUGCCCUGGCUGUGGGGGUGGAGGGACCUUCCCAGGAUGAACCCCCCAGUCCCAGGCACCCUCUAGCUCCCUCAGCCGAACAGCACCCUGCAUCUGGGGGAUUGAAGCAGUCGCUGACCCCCGUCCCCAGUGGGCCCGGGCCCUCACUCCCUGAACCACACGGGGUUUAUUUGCGGACGUUCCCUGCAGAGGUGGCUUUGUGAAGAAGCCAUCAGCAGGCUGUGGGCAUCGCCAGGCUGCUGUGGGGGCGGGAGCAGCCUCAGUGUCAAGGGCCCGCCCACUGACCCAGCCAUACCUAUUCGUCCACGGUGCCCCUGUAGCAGCAGGCCCUGGGGCCAAAUCUGUCUCCCUUCAUGGGCCUCCCAGGGAAGGAGGAAGCCCUGCUGUGCAGACACCUCUGUGGCCCCCCAGGGGUGUGAGCGGCCUGGGGAGGGGGCCGUGGCACUGAGGCCGAAAGUGCCUGCCAGAUGGCACGGUCUGGGUGCGGGUGUUCCCUGUGAGCCCGAGUCCGCUUCAGGAGGGGAGCCUGCAGGUGCGGCUGGUGAGGGGAUGACGCGCUGUGGGUGGGAGGAGGCAGCGCCCAUCUCAGCAGCACCAGGACUGCCUGGGACUCCCUGGCAACCCAGCACUGGGGAAGCCGUCAGCUGCUGUGACAAUAAAACCUGCCCCGUGUUUGG